UUUGAUCCUGGCUCAGGAUGAACGCUGACAGAAUGCUUAACACAUGCAAGUCUUUGGCAAAUCUGUGCUUGCACAGCCUAGCCAAGGCGGACGGGUGAGUAACGCGUAAAGAACUUGCCCUGCAGACAGGGAUAACAGACGGAAACGACUGAUAAUACCUGAUACAAUUGCCAGCACGCAUGUGCCCGGCAAUGAAAAGUGAUGCUGCAGGAGAGCUUUGCGUCCUAUUAGCUUGUUGGUGAGGUAACGGCUCACCAAGGCGAUGAUAGGUAGCCGGCCUGAGAGGGUGAACGGCCACAAGGGGACUGAGAUACGGCCCUUACUCCUACGGGAGGCAGCAGUGGGGAAUAUUGGACAAUGGGGGCAACCCUGAUCCAGCAAUUCUGUGUGCACGAAGAAGGUUUUCGGAUUGUAAAGUGCUUUCAGCAGGGAAGAAGAAAGUGACGGUACCUGCAGAAGAAGCGACGGCUAAAUACGUG
rnacentral:rRNA from 1 species